GCACGCCGUUCGCCGGCGCCCAGAGCCCCGCCCACCCCGCCCCCGACGCAGCGUGGGAGGCGGGGGCAUCGGGUUGGGUUCCGGGCUCUGAACCGCCGUUCCGUAACCAGCGCUGCCCGUUGGAAGGCUUGGGUGUGUCUCUGCUGCGGGGCUGAAGCUUCACGUGCUGCCUACCUGUCGUGGACUGCAGCGGCAAGCAUCUGGGUCCGCUCUAAGGAGCCUUUCAACUGUCCGACACUGAUGGAGUGUCGAGGGCACCGUCAGGGCCGUCCGCCUGGGAGACACAAAUCGGCUGGACCACGCUGAGGGCACCUGUCGUGGGAUGAAGCCUUCCUACCUGGGCUGUGCGAGUGACAACUGAGCUGGGACGUGGAGGAUGCAUCUGAUUUACCCAAAAAAAGAGUAGCGGGAAGGGUGUUCCAAGCAAAGAACCUCUUGGUCAGAGACCUAGCGAUAAUAGAAAAAGUUGGGCUCAGGGAACUGAAAGUUCAUUAUGGCCGAACAGAGGGUACGGUGUGUGGGGAUGAGGCUGCGGAGGGACCCAGCAGCUGAAUCAUUCAGACCUAAUAAACUCUUAGGAAGUUUGAACUUCGGAAGUUUGAACUUUAGUAUUGAAAGAUUCUAAACUGAAGAACAGCAUUAUCAGAUUCGUGUUUUUAAAAAAUUACUCUGGCUGCAGUGUGGCGAAUGGAUUACAAAGAAGGGAGACUAAGGCAGGGAAACCACAGAGGCUAUUGAUUGCAUUUUGGCAAAAGAUGAUGAUGCCCUCAAGUAAGGAAGAAGCAGUGGAAUUGGAGAGAAGUGGAUGGAUUCUGGAUAAUUUGGAAGCAGGGACUGGUUCACCAGAGCCUGAGCACUUUUCAGUGAUGAACUGAGCAGCCAGACUUCAAGGGGAGAGAAGAGAUGACAGCCUGGGGACUGUGAGCUCUGUGUUCCCUCAGCAUAACACCAUGCUUUUCAUGCAUGGCCCUUCCUCUUUCUCCCUGUUUUUCUUACUUUGCCUUAGACUGGAUGACUUUCUCUUUCAGCCCCAAAUCAUGCCCUAAUGCCCCAGUGUGUGAAUAGAAUCAUAUUUUCCUACUGACUGCUCUCAUGCAGGUGCUAUUUUUUUUUUGGAAGAGGAAGAAGAAGGAGAAGAAGGGAGAAAGGGAGAAGGGGAAAUAAAGAGGAACAGAUGAAAUCAAAAGGAAAGGAAGAAGGCAAACCCCUGGUGUGUUGAGGACAGAGCUUAAAGCCACGGUUUCUUUCAGUGUCUCCUCAAGGCUCUUUAUUCAUUCAAAAAAUAUUUUUGCAACACCGAGUGACACACAUUUCUAAGUUAAUCCUUUGAGUAAAGUGUAAUUUAAUUAGUUGGGGGGAAUGUGGGGUGUGUUUCAGUCACUCUCAGAUAUUUUGAAUUUAUUUUUCAAGUGAAAAAUUAAUAUAUGCCUGUUGUGAAUAAGAAAUCCAAAUACCAAAGUGUAUAAAGUAAAAAGGUAGCCCUCAUCCUCAUUCUCCUUCUCUCCUUAACUCUUUUUUUUUAAAAUAUUGAUUGAUUGAUUUGCCUGUGUUCUGUCUUAGUUGUGGUGCGUGGGCUUCUCUCUAGUUGUGGUGAAUGGGCUCCAGAGCAUAUGGGCUCAGUAGUUGUGAUGUGAGGCUUAGUUGCCCCACGGCAUGUGGGAUCUUAGUUCCCUGACCGGGGAUCGAACCUGCAUCCCCUGCAUUGGAAGGCAGAUUCUUAACCACUGGACCACCAGGGAAGUCCCUCUCCUUAACUCUUUUUUUCAAAAAAAUUAUUUAUUUAUUUAUUUAUGGCUGUGUUGGGUCUUUGUUGCUGCUCACAGGCUUUACUCUAGUUGCAGUGAGCGGGGGCCACUCUUCAUUGCAGUGCGCAGGCUUCUCACUGCGGUGGCUUCUCCUAUUGCAGAGCACGGGCUCCAGUAGUUGUGGCUCGCGGGCGCUAGAGCACAAGCUCAGUAGUUGUGGCGCACAGGCUUAGUUUCACGGCGGUAUGUGGGGUCUUCCCGGACCAGGGCUCGAACCCCUGUCCCCUGCAUUAGCAGGUGGAUGCUUAACCACUGUGCCACCAGGGAAGCCCCCUCUCCUUAACUCUUAAGACCAGUUUGGUGUGUAUUGUUCCAGACCUUUGGGGGAGCACAUGUAAACACACCCCAAAAACAGGAUUGGGCAACAUGUAUUAUCUUGUAAUGUGACCUCUCCCAGUAGUGUUAGACUGGCUUGAUUGCCAGGCCAAGGUGGCACAAAGGAGUCUGAGAAAAUGCUGCGUGUAACUACAAGGUAAUGUCUAUCCCCAUAGGCCUGAGCUCCAUGACUAAGUUGUAUAUGCUGUACAUGUUGAACACUUAUUAAAUGGGAAACCUGUGGGUUUUUUUGUAUUUAAUUAUUCCCUCCUGGUGACUGAGAAUUGAUUUUAAGAUGUUGAAAGUCAGCUCUCUCUCUGGACUCUCUCAGUAUAGCUCCAUGGUUCAUAACCUUUUCCUACCUCAGCACACAUAACAGAUGCUGUGUGCACUUGAUACACACAUAACCUGAAGUGUCCUCUGUACUCAAAAAAGCACUCAGGAAAAGCAUGUCAGAGUGCCAGGAAGUGAAAGGGAUGCUGCCACAGGGAUAACCUUAUAUCUUUAAAAUUACUUUUAUAAGGGACUUCGCUGGCAGUCCAGUGUUCGGGACUCUGCACUUCCACGGCAGGGGGUGUGGGUUAAAUUUCUGGUCAGGGAACUAAGAUCCCGAAGCUGCUCAGUUAAAAACAGAAACAGAAACAAAAACAACAACAAAAAGCAUUCAAUUGAGCACCUGCUCUGUGCCAGGCACUGAACCAGGUGCUGAGGAAACAAAGGUGAACAAGACAAUCUAGUACAGCAUUCUUGAACUUUACUGAGAAGCAGCUAGGAGCUUAUUAAAAUGCAGAGUCUGUUUCAGUAGGUGAGACCAAGGAAUUUGCAUUUUUAACAGAUACCCAUGGUGAUUUCCUCAAGAGUAUGGGAUGGUCUCAUUUUAUUUAUUUAUUUGUUUAUUUAUUUAUUUGGCUGCACCGGGUCUUAGUUGCCGCAUGCGGGACCUUCGUUGAGGCACAUGGGAUCUUUAGUUGCAGCAUGUGCGAGCUAGUUCCCUGACCAGGGAUCGAACCUGGGCCCCCUGCAUUGGGAGCAUGGAGUCUUAGUCACUGGACCACCAGGAAAGUCCCGGGAUGGUCUCAUCUUGAAAAACACUGGUCUCGACACAGAGAAGCCCAAAAAUUACAUUAGGGGUUCAAGAUCAGGGACUAUUUUUAUCCCUGAUAUUUCCUGAAAUAAGCAGCACAUGUGUAUUAUCAUGUGCUGAAGUUAGAGUGACCCUCUGACAAUGACUCAGGAAGAUUUAAAUGCAGAAGAAUGCAGACUUAUAUAAACAAAUUGUCUGUCAAUAUGUAGGAGUUUUCAGAAGAUUCCAAAUAAUUAACAUCCUCACUUGACAAAUAUUGAGUGCCUAGUUUGUCCCAGGUACUGGUGGGCAUUCCCUUCUGUCUAAAUCUCCUCCUAUGCCUUAUAUUCUGCUACUUCUAUUUUUCUGAACCAUUAUUCUAUUUAUUAUUGCCCUUUCCUGUGUCUUCAAGCUCUCUUUUUCUGCUGGAUCCUUCCUUUUAACACAUCUCUUUUGUCUGAAAAGUAAAAAUUCUUUGACCUUGUGUCUCCUCUAGUUAUAAUUAUGUUCUAUUUUCUUCCUCACAACCCCAUCACUUAGGAUGCUUUUGGCUGCAAGUGACAGAAAACUCAAUACACAUUGGCUUAAACCAAAGCAUCUAUUGGCUCAUGUGACUGAAAAGUCCAGAAGCAUGUCUGGCUUUAAGCAACACUUGAUGCAGUAGCUCAAAUGAUGUCUGAAGGAGCCUAGUCCCUUUGUGUUCUUCGCUCUACUUUAAUCCUUGGUGUCCCAUCCCAUUCACCCCUGGCAGUUUUAAGUUCUCUCUUCAUGGUUGCAAAAUAGCUCAAA